rnacentral:rRNA from 1 species
CCUACGCGUGGCAGCAGUGAGGAAUAUUGGUCAAUGGGCGAGAGCCUGAACCCUCCAAGUCGCGUGAAGGCUGAAGGAUCUAUGGUUUGUACACUUCUUUUAUAUGGGAAUACAUUGAGGAACGUGUUCCUUUUUGUAUGUACCAUCUGAAUAAGCAUCGUCUAACUCCGUGCCAUCAGCCGCGGUACUACGGAGAAUGCGAGCGUUAUCCGGAUUUAUUGGGUUUAAAGGGUGCGUAGGUGGUUAAUUAAGUCAGCGGUGAAAGUUUGUGGCUCAACCAUAAAAUUGCCGUUGAAACUGGUUGAUGUGAGUAUAUUUGAGGUAGGCGGAAUGCGUGGUGUAGCGGUGAAAUGCAUAGAUAUCACGCAGAACUCCGAUUGCGAAGGCAGCUUACUAAACUAUAACUGACACUGAAGCACGAAAGCGUGGGGAUCAAACAGGAUUAGAGACCCCUGUAGUC